UUGAAUUUAGGGUUUUGCAGAAUCAUUUACUAUGUUUCGAAUCGGAGCUAAGCUCUAUAGAGCUGCGAGAAUUGGUGGCUCCGCCGUGUCCGAUUUCAGGUCACCACCAACAAGAUUUUUCUCCAUUAACAACAAUGUUAAUACUGGUUUCAAGACCAACCCAGUUGCUCUUCAAAUGAUCAAUUAUGCUCUUUCUCUAGCCCGGGCUCAAAAAUCAGACGAAUCAUAUGCGCAAGCUCAAUUGGUACUUGAGCAGUGCCACUCAACUCAGUCGGAUGAGAGUGCUAAAGGAUUGGUUAUGCUCGCUAUGUCUACCUUAUUUUCUGAAAGAGGGAAUUUUAGUGAAGCCAUUGAGAAGCUCCAGAAAAUUCAAGAUUUGGGCUUGUCAACUUUAGCUGUUAGAGUUGCCGCCUCUGAAGCACUUGCUGGGCUUUACUUAGAAUCAUAUCAAGAUGAUUUUUCAUCAGCAACUGCAGAUAUGUGCUUGCAACUGCUGGAAACCAUAAGGCUAGAAAUUGGUGGUGGUGGAUCUGACAUAUUGGAAGCUCGUGCAAAAGCAUUGAAAGGGCUGGUUGAGUUGGUCCAUGGUAAUGUUGAAUCAGCUGAGUCAUUCUUUGAAGGAGCUCAAGGUGAUAAAGGUUGCUUUGGCAAUGUUGCACUAUCUUUUGGUGAAUUCCUGCAUUGUAAGCGGAAUUCCCAGAUGGCGAGGGAGUUAUAUCAAAGGGCAAUGCAGGAUGUAUCAGAACGUAAAGAUUUUACCGACUCACAGUCCGUAUCAGCUUGUAACAUGAAUUUGGAGGAGACUUUGUUAGGAGCUACAUGUGCUCUAGGACAGCUUGAGGCUCAUUUGGGGAAUUUUGAUGAUGCUGAGGAAAUACUAACUGCAGCACUGAAGAAAGCAGAAGAGUGCUUUGGUAAUUAUCAUCCAAAGGUAGGUAUUAUUUUGACCUGCAUAGCUCUCAUGUAUCGACAUAAAGCAGCCAUGGAGCAGUCAAGCUCGCUUUUGAUUCAAGAGGGACUCUAUAGAAGAGCAAUUGAAGUGCUCAAAGCUCCACCCUUGGAAGUAGAAGGUGUUGUAGCGACACGGUCUAGAAGGGAUAUUCUUGCCCUUGCAAGAGGUGGGUACGCAGAGACGCUUAUCGUGCAACAAAACAGAAAAGCAGAAGGUGAAAAACUGAAGCAGUGGGCUGAAACAGCUUGGACAAGUCGCAGAUUAUCACUCGCGGAGGCACUAGAGUCAUCAGCCAAAGUGUCUGUCAUAGAUACUCGAAUAAGCCGAGUCCUGUAGUUUGUUUCCUUCCUUGACACAUUACGUUCAUCAACUCACAAGUAUAUCUAUAUACUUUU
rnacentral:misc_RNA from 1 species